rnacentral:rRNA from 1 species
GGGUCAGUAGGUUGGUCGUGCCACCGGUACGUACUGGUCUCACUGAUGCCUCCCUCCUGAAGAACCGUAAUGCCAUUAAUUUGGUGUUGCGGGGAAACAGGACUGUUACUUUGAAAAAAUUAGAGUGUUUAAAGCAAGCUAACGCUUGAAUACAUUAGCAUGGAAUAAUGAAAUAGGACGAUCGAUCCUAUUUUGUUGGUUUCUAGGAUUGACGUA